CGUCUAGCGGUUAGGACGCCGCCCUUUCACGGCGGAAACAGGGGUUCGAUUCCCCCC
rnacentral:tRNA from 1 species